GGGGGCGAGCCAAGAGCAAGAAAACAGGAAAGUCUGCCUGUCAACUCUGGACUCUCUCCUAACCGCGAGCCGCCACCUUGGACUCUUUCCUGGGAUGUUUCACCAGUAAUGUAAUCCACACUGGAUGAGGACACAGCGGAGAUCUGGGAGUCUGAAGUUUAAAGUUCUUCAUUCCUUGCAUGUGCCUCUAAACCAGACAAUAGUAAGUGGUCCAAAAACAACGUAAAGAUGCAGAAAGUGUCUGUCAGAAAGCCAGUCUUCAACUGGGAGGACGGAUGAUGGGGGAGGCAUGGAACAGAUGUCUGAUGAGGACCACGAGGCCCUGAAUUUUAACAAUGGAAGGCAGAAAAUGGAGAGACUGAUAAGGCUGCUGCCAUCCCAAUUGCUACUGUAAGAGUUGCCAUGGGAAAGCAACUGAGCGGCCACUUUGCUG